rnacentral:rRNA from 1 species
GACCUCUAAUCGGAAAAGACUACCCGCUGAGUUUAAGCAUAUCACUAAGCGGAGGAGAC